rnacentral:rRNA from 1 species
UUCGGGUUGUAAAGCACUUUCAGUCGUGAGGAAGGUAGUGUAGUUAAUAYCUGCAUUAUUUGACGUUAGCGACAGAAGAAGCACCGGCUAACUCCGUGCCAGCAGCCGCGGUAAUACGGAGGGUGCGAGCGUUAAUCGGAAUUACUGGGCGUAAAGCGCAUGCAGGUGGUUUGUUAAGUCAGAUGUGAAAGCCCGGGGCUCAACCUCGGAAUAGCAUUUGAAACUGGCAGACUAGAGUACUGUAGAGGGGGGUAGAAUUUCAGGUGUAGCGGUGAAAUGCGUAGAGAUCUGAAGGAAUACCGGUGGCGAAGGCGGCCCCCUGGACAGAUACUGACACUCAGAUGCGAAAGCGUGGGGAGCAAACAGGAUUAGAUACCCUGGUAGUCCACGCCGUAAACGAUGUKCUGUUGGAGGUUGUGGCCUUGAGCC